rnacentral:rRNA from 1 species
AACGAACGCUGGCGGCAUGCCUAACACAUGCAAGUCGAACGAGACCUUCGGGUCUAGUGGCGCACGGGUGCGUAACGCGUGGGAACCUGCCCUUAGGUUCGGAAUAACUCCCCGAAAGGGGUGCUAAUACCGGAUAAUGUCUUCGGACCAAAGAUUUAUCGCCUUUGGAUGGGCCCGCGUUGGAUUAGCUAGUUGGUAGGGUAAAAGCGUACCAAGGCGACGAUGCAUAGCUGGGCUGAGAGGAUGAUCAGCCACACUGGGACUGAGACACGACCCAGACUCCUACGGGAGGGAGCAGUGGGGAAUAUUGGACAGUGGGCGAAAGGCUGAACGAGCAAGGCCGCGUGAGUGAUGAAGGCCUUAGGGUUGUAAAGCUCGUUUACCCGGGAUGAUAAUGACAGUACCGGGAGAAUAAGCUCCGGCUAACUCCGUG